GGACUACAAGGGUUUCUAAUCCUUAUUGCUACCCAAGCCUUCGUCCCUCAACGUCAGUUUUUACAUAGAAGGAUGCCUUCGCCGUUACCAGUCCUUCUGGUAUCAAAGUAUUUCAUCUCUACUCCAGAAAUUCUUCCUUCUCACAUAAAACUCUAGUAAAAAAGUACUCAUUUAGAGUUUAAUUUACCGUCUAGGUACCCUUUAAACCUAAUAAAGAUGACUAACACUAGUCUUCUACGUAUUACCGCGGCUGCUGGCAC
rnacentral:rRNA from 1 species